rnacentral:rRNA from 1 species
ACUCCUACGGGAGGCAGCAGUGGGGAAUAUUGCACAAUGGGCGCAAGCCUGAUGCAGCAACGCCGUGUGAGUGAAGAAGGUUUUCGGAUCGUAAAACUCUGUCCUAAGGGAAGAAACAAAUGACGGUACCUUAGGAGGAAGCCCCGGCUAACUACGUGCCAGCAGCCGCGGUAAUACGUAGGGGGCAAGCGUUAUCCGGAAUCACUGGGCGUAAAGGGUGCGUAGGCGGCUUAGCAAGCCAGGGGUGAAAGGCAUUGGCUCAACCAAUGUAAGCCUUUGGAACUGUUAAGCUUGAGUGCAGGAGAGGUAAGUGGAAUUCCUAGUGUAGAGGUGAAAUUCGUAGAUAUUAGGAGGAACACCAGUGGCGAAGGCGACUUACUGGACUGUAACUGACGCUGAUGCACGAAAGCGUGGGUAGCGAACAGGAUUAGAUACCCUUGU